rnacentral:lncRNA from 1 species
GAAGCCAGGCCAAGAAGAAUCCCAGGACUGGAAGGCCUUGUGGGACGUCCCAGGUUUGUCUUGUGUCAAUAGCACUGAUACUCAAUCUCCUACUCCCAUCUGUGAGCAUGCAGACCCUACUUGCCUUCCCACAGCCUCCCUUUUCAUAUUUUUCAUGUUUCUUUAGCUCUGUCUUCAAGCCUUGUUGCUCCCGCAAAAAAACCUGCCUCUUCCUCCAGUCCUCCCAAGCAGGGGGAACAGUCCUGACACCUUUCCAAGCCCUGGUCCAUGGACAUUGUGCCCCCUUCUCCCUGCCCAUGGUGACCUGCUCCAAAACCCUCAAGGAGAAGGGAGUGUAUGUCAUUUCCUCCCUGUAAAGUAAAGAUAAUUUUGCAGGGGACUGUGUGGAUGAAAUGACAUGAUGCAUGGAAAUCCCUUAGCGUGUGCCUGGCAUGUAAACUGCAGGUGUCAUCAUUAUUACUGAGGAAUACUGAGUCCCGAACAUGGCUGUCUCAUUGGUGGACUGGGGUCUCCCCCAGGGCAUUCAUCUACUAUGUGUUUAUUGCACCCUUUUUCCAUGUGAGGCACAUGCCAGGGACUGGGCACAUGGUAUGAACAAGACACAGGUCAUCGGUGUCCUCUUGAGCUCCCUGGCUUGGCAGCAGAUGCAUACCUGGGAAGGAUGCUAGGUCAUCCGGGAACUCUACCUCCUUCAAAUCCCUAAGGACUGUGCUCCCAAUCCGCUUACGCUCAAGGAAGAACUGCCUGGAAGCCCUCCCUGGUACCAUACCCCAGCCGAUGAGUAUGUACCCCCAGAAGUACUUCCGCUCAGAGAAGAAGGAGACGGCAAGCAGGGUGUACAGGAAGGCCCAGAACCAGCCUGCUGUCAGGAUCAGAACAAAAGAGGAGGACUGCAUAUGUAUGGACCCACUCCAGAUGGCACGGGGACGGGGGGAGUAGGAAAAGUGGCAUGAUGAGGAAAUGGAGGCACAGACUGAUUAGAAAACCAGCUCAAGGUCAUGUUGCUGAAAUACUUCUAAGGGGCCAGGCGUGGUGACUCAUGCUUGUAAUUCCAAGCACUUUGGGAGGCUGAGGCAGGUGGAUCACCUGAAGCCAGGAGUUCAAGAGCAGCCUGGCCAACAUGGCGAAACCCUGUCUCUACUAAAAAUACAAAAUUUAGCCAGGCAUGGUGGCGGGAGCCUGUAAUCUCAGCUCCUAGGGAGGCUGAGCCAGAAGAAUCGCUUAAACCUGGAAGCUGGAGGUUGCAGUGAGCCAAGAUCACACCACCACACUCCAGCCUGGGUGACAGAGCAAGACUCCAUCUCAAAAAGAAAAAAAAGAAAAAAAGGAAAUACUUCUAAGUUAUGUGAGAGAGUACAUACUGACAUUUUCAAUGGGUACAAUAA